rnacentral:misc_RNA from 1 species
UUUCCGUAGGUGAACCUGCGGAAGGAUCAUUAUUGAAACUUGAAUCGUAGCAUUGAGAACUGUUGCUGACCUGUUAAAGGGUAUGUGCACGUUCGACGUGUUGCGUUCUAUUCAUCCACCUGUGCACCUUUGUAGACUUGAUUAACUUUCGCUCUCGGGCGGUUAGAAGGGUUGCUUUCGAGCUCCCUUUGUCUAUCAAGUCUAUGUCUAUAUAAUCUCUUGUAUGUCUGGAAUGUUUUGUUUAUGGGACGCAAGUCCUUUAAAUCUUAUACAACUUUCAACAACGGAUCUCUUGGCUCUC